rnacentral:rRNA from 1 species
CCCGCGUAAUUUAAGCAUAUUAAUAAGCGGAGGAAAAGAAACUAACAAGGAUUCCCUUAGUAGCUGCGAGCGAACAGGGAGGAGCCCAGCACCGAAUCCUGCGCGCCAUGAACGCGUCUGGAAAUGUGGUGUUUGGGAGGGCCCGUUCAUCUCGCCGCCGUGCGCCCGUCCAAGUCCGUCUUGAAAGCGGCCACAGCCCGCAGAGGGUGCCAGGCCCGUCUGACGGCGCACAUUCGGCGGCGAAAGGGUCUCUCAGAGUUCAAGAGUACGUGAAACCGUUCGGGGGUAAACGGAAGGGAUCUGGAAAAUCGAAGCGAGUGAUUCACGUCCGCGUGCCGUGCGCACCGCGACUCCCGUCGAUGGUCGUGUGUCGUCCGCCGUGUCGCGUCGCAAGGCGCGCGCGUGUCGGUCGCUCCGCCACGAACGGCCGAGCUUGCGGUCGCCGGCUGCCGGGCUGCACUUCACUCGUUGUAGUACGUCGCGACCCGUUGGGCGUGCGUCUAGGGCCCGCCGUGGAGCUGGACACAGGGCGGCAGCGCGUCGUCGGUCGCAAGGCCGGCGGCCCUCCGUCCAGUCCAACCGCGCGGUCGCCCGGCGCACUCUGGCCAGACGGUCUAUAGACAUGACGGGCGGCGCCCCACGCCAAGAGCACCCGGAGUGUGGGUGUGGCUGUUCGCAGCACGUGGACCGCCCGAUGCGACGAUCUAACCGGAUGCCCUUCCGACCCGUCUUGAAACACGGACCAAGGAGUCUAACAUGUACGCGAGUCAUUGGGACCGAGUACGAAACCUAAAGGCGAAAUGAAAGUAAAGGUCGCGGCGCGAGCCCGGCCCUAAGAGGGGAGACGUGCGCGCUUCCAGCCUUCGGGCGACGCGCGCACCGCACCCCCGGGGCGUCUCGUUCUCAUUGCGAGACAGCAGGCGCACCCAGAGCGUACACGUUGGGACCCGAAAGAUGGUGAACUAUGCCUGGUCAGGUCGAAGCUGGCGCUCGGAGUUUGUCUAUGGCUAGAGAGAGCCGAAACGGCGGCCGCGCGCCUCGGCGCGUGGCCGCACCACCAGUCUCAUCUGGUAAAGCGAAUGAUUAGAGGCCUUGGGGCCGAAACGACCUCAACCUAUUCUCAAACUUUAAAUGGGUGAGAAAAUCGACUUGCUUAAAGGCAUGAAGUCGAUAAAGUGGAUGAACGAGUGCCCAGUGGGCCAUUUUUGGUAAGCAGAACUGGUGCUGUGGGAUGAACCAAACGUCGAGUUAAGGCGCCUAAAUCGAUGCUCAUGGGAUACCAUGAAAGGCGUUGGUUGCUUAAGACAGCAGGACGGUGGCCAUGGCGAUGUUGAUGCAUGUCGCUAUAAACCGAACGACUCUAGGUUUGACCGCAUCGGGCGAAAGGCAAUCCGUUUUCUAUUACGGAACCUGGCAGCGGAACCGACCAUGCUGGCCAAUGCAAAUCGCGACUUAACGCAUUUUCCGCCGGCGGUGCGGUCGGCCCUCGUGUCGAGCCCUCCGUCGAAACGGCACGCGCGUCGCGCGUGGAGCAACUCGUCGGGGUAACCCAAAAGGACCCGGAGACGCCGCCGGAUGAUCGGGGCAGAGUUUUCUGUUCUGCAUAAGCGUUCGAGUUCCCUGGAAUCGCCUAGCGCGGAGAUAGGGUUUGGAAUGCGAAGAGCACCGCACUUGCGCCGGUGUCGCGAUCUAU